CCCUACCCCCGCCGCCGCCUGCCGUCGGAGAUAAAAAGAAGCAAAGUGCCGCCGUCGAUGGGUGAUUCGCCGGCCGGAGAUGAGAGAAUAAGGGGAGAGCCAAGACAAGCCAUUGCUAAUUGGAAAGGGAUGCGUCCUGAGCUGCCGCGAGUCCUGGGCGAAGAUCCCAGGUCGUUAUAAGUCUUUGCAGGAAGGUGAUCACAUUUUUUCUUGAGUUCUUCUCUGCCAAGUAGAAUAUAGCAAGGACACAAUCUGUAGUUGAUUCACUCAUUUAAGCUUGGGCAAAAAGAGCUUCACUAGGACCGAGUACAACACUGCACCCGAUGGUCGGAUCUUCUUCAAGCAUGGACGGAAGAAGUUUCUUACGAGGACUGGACUUGAGGUUGGAGCGGAUGUGUUAAUAACAUGCAAGACAAAGGUCGGCAAUGAGCUCGAGAUGAUUGUUCUUAGUCUAUUGUUCAAUCAAUGUUUAUUAUUAUCAGUCAUUUUCUUAUAAUAGUUGACUCACCAGUCAAUGUUCAGAGAGCAGGCAUCAUUGUUCUAUUUAUCAUUCAUGAGUUUUACUCA